UGCUUUGAUUGUAAUUCCUCACUCCCACUCAUGCACAUUCGCUGAAACAAACCAUAAAUAAAUAAAUAAACAAAUAAAUUGAAAAGGAUAUCUGUAGAUACAGCUCGCAGCCAAUGCAAUUAACUUUGGACGAAAUGUGUAUGGAAUAUUUGUAAGCUAAGUUUCUACGAAACUAAUCAGUCUACGGUACCUGCACGACCGCCAGGGUAUUUUUCAACAAAGAUGCCAGGAAACAGUGUUACUGCAGAUAUUCUUCUAGCCUUUGUAACUUUGGCUUGUGUUAAAGGUCAAAGCACCGAUCCACCAGCUCUAUCAACGAAUAGAGGACUGCAUUCCGUUCUGGAGAACACUGUGUCACCUGCAUUUGGGGCAACUGUGAUAAUAAUUAUAACUGUCAUUGUAUCAGGUAGUGCCUACCUGUGUUUUCUGAAAUAUAUUUGUUCUGGAUGUUGCAAAUCGACACAGGUUGUGCCUGUGACAAGAAUGGACCCAAACAAAUCAGAAGAACAAGUAUAGCUUUUUUCUGUUCUGCAGAUUCCUAAUGAAGCUGCAAUAAUUCUUUGAUUUUUUGUUUGUUUCUUUAUAAGCAUUUAUUGUCUUGUUCUUCAGUUCUGGAGCAGACUCAUCUGUGAAGUUUUGAGUAGAACUGGCAACCUAAAGUCAGGGCCAGAUUAAAUGACAAUAUUUUGGCGGCCCUAUGCACAAUAGCUUGUGAAACGGUGUUGUAAUUCACAGCUUGUAGGAAAAGUGUAUCUGCAAGGAAAGCUUUCAGUUCUACGUCAGAUGCAUGUUUACCAUUUAGACCAUUGCAAAACAAAUACAAUGUGUAACCCAUACUGAUCUUGGGCAUCGGUCGACCACUGACAAGCAACCAAUUUACCAAUUCCAUAAUCUCCUGCUUGUGAUACUCAGCAACUUUAGGUAAGUAUUCAUGUCUCAGCUGGGCUGAUAAAGGAAUCGCUCCACCAUUUGCUACACUCAGUCUGAAGAAUUUACAUUGUCCAAUUUUUCAAGAGGGAUAUUUGCGCAAACAAACGUCUCUGGCAGGUCAAAAUGGAAUGUGUUCCGUGCUUGAGGGUUUUCAGUGGACUUUUGGAACAUGGAAGUCACCGUUUUUUGUUUCUUUGUAAGUAAAGCAGUCACAGUACUGCUCUGGAUUUCCACCUUUCUCUUUCAGUGAAUACUUGAAUCUAAACGCCUGUCAACAGAUGAUUUUCAGUAGUGAGCUACAGUAACGUUGCAGGACAUACAGAAGAGCUUACCUCCACCGCUGUAUAAAACUCCUGCUGGAUACUGCUUUACGUGAUCUGCUGCAGACACUUUUUUAGAGACAUCCAUUUUCUUGGUUACAGUGUGUAGUGUUUUAAUUUCCCGCCUAGAUUGCAUAUACUGUAGUCACAUGACAUAAUCACUACACAGCACUGUGUGCAUGGCGAAUAUUACACACAGACACAUAGCAGAUCUGUACAGUUUAGUUAAUGUGAUUUUUUUGGGAUGAAAUAAAAAGAAUUAUGAAAUAAUGUAUCUUCUUUCUUAAGAAUAUUGAAAAAAUCACGGUAUUGGGCUAAUUUCAUGAUUUCCGCACAGUAUAUAAAGGGAGAGAAACAAACCCUAUGGACUUAAACCCUUCCUGCCAGCUGCAGAAUGGUAGACUCCCGCAUUAUACACAUUUACCUUUACAAGACAGGUUUUUAAAGUGGCUCUAAAACUGAAAUAAAUGAAUGCGUAAAUUGACCAUGUUUCAUACAUUUUAUCCUGCAGUCUGACCCCUAGGACUAGGGAUGGAUCUCUCCUAGGAGGUAGAGGGUGUGGAGCAUUUGGUAUUGUACAUUAGCAGGAAGCUGCUUGCGUGAGAGACUCAGAGCAGGUAUGCUAUAAUCGAGAUGGAAUGCCUAGCUGUCAUAAAAUAAAAGAAAUGAACCGAAAGCAAGUUUCUGUGCUCCUCUCUUCCUGUGUGUGUGUGUGGGCCCGGCCGCCCACAUGCACGUUUUGUAAAAUGUACCAAAAACGUCGACCUCGUGUGAGCCCCAAUUCUGCUGGGGGUUCUACGCUACAGUGUAAUUUGCGUAUAGGUUAAUCCAGCCCUGCCUAAAGAGACAAAAAGGCAAGGCUCUGCUAUGGAGCUAUUGGAUCCCUGUAGCUAAUCCUGGGGCUCAGCUCAAGGUCACUCUAUUAACUUGUAAGGUUUUAUAUAAAUUGUAAUAAUUUUAUGUGCCCCUUUAAAUUGUAAAGAAGUGAGAAAUCAUUGAAAUUCUGUCUCUGAACAUUCUGUGAUUUUCCUGUGUUUAAUGUAAGCUCUGAAUCAACACAGGGUCAAUGAACUUAAAAUCAAGCUGUAUAUAGCUUGUUUACAUCAGCAGUUUGCAAUCACCAGCCUUGUCGUUCAGUCUUGUGAUGCAUCGAUAUGGCGCUUUGCCGUCUGUGAGAAUUGAGCAAAACUCAUAUCAUAUCAAGUUGUUCUAAGUGUAACUUCUUGUUAUCUGGGUUUCUGCUGACCUCGGUGAAGUGAAGAAGAAACGCAGAUGUUAACUGUUAAUGUGCUUUGUCUUACACCAUGCAUCAUGCUAGGGAAAUAAGACCAAGGAAAUUACAUAAGCUAGCUGUAUAUCUGUGCUGUACAAAGUAAUUUCAGGGCUCAGAAAACUACAUCUACACGCCUGCUUGGACAUCUCUGUGUCAGGGCAGCUCAGAAUACCAUCAGCUGAUGCCUUGUGUAUGUAUCAUGAAUGUGUAUGUGUAUGUAUGUGUUUUGUUGUGUUGAUUUUCUUUGUUCCUGAAUAAACUCUCUUGAUU